AGGGGAAACGGCAUUGAGUGCUUGCACUCUUUGGACGUCGACCGGCGCACGGGUGAGUAACGCGUAUCCAACCUUCCCAUUACUGUGGGAUAACCUGCCGAAAGGCAGACUAAUACCGCAUAGUCUUCGAUGACGGCAUCAGAUUUGAAGUAAAGAUUUAUCGGUAAUGGAUGGGGAUGCGUCUGAUUAGCUUGUUGGCGGGGUAACGGCCCACCAAGGCAACGAUCAGUAGGGGUCUGAAGGAAGGUCCCCCACAUGGAACUGAGACACGGUCCAAACUCCUACGGGAGGCAGCAGUGAGGAAUAUUGGUCAAUGGACGGAAGUCUGAACCUGCCAAGUAGCGUGCAGGAUGACGGCCCUAUGGGUUGUAAACUGCUUUUGUAUGGGGAUAAAGUUAGGGACGUGUCCCUAUUUGCAGGUACCAUACGAAUAAGGACCGGCUAAUUCCGUGCCAGCAGCCGCGGUAAUACGGAAGGUCCAGGCGUUAUCCGGAUUUAUUGGGUUUAAAGGGAGCGUAGGCUGGAGAUUAAGUGUGUUGUGAAAUGUAGACGCUCAACGUCUGAAUUGCAGCGCAUACUGGUUUCCUUGAGUACGCACAACGUUGGCGGAAUUCGUCGUGUAGCGGUGAAAUGCUUAGAUAUGACGAAGAACGCCGAUUGCGAAGGCAGCUGACGGGAGCGCAACUGACGCUUAAGCUCGAAGGUGCGGGUAUCAAACAGGAUUAGAUACCCUGGUAGUCCGCACAGUAAACGAUGGAUGCCCGCUGUUGGUACCUGGUAUCAGCGGCUAAGCGAAAGCAU
rnacentral:rRNA from 1 species